GGAACCUGCGAAGCUCAGAACCGCGGCAGUGGGCCGGAGACUCAGCGGGCCAGGUGCUGUCACAGUUCUUCUGGUCUGAGUGUGUGACUCUCCUGAGAGUCGGAGGAGAUGGCUGCAGGAGCAGUGGCUGGACCCAUCCCUGUGCUGUGCUUGGGCGUUGACAAAUCUGCUGCUACUUUAGUCGGUAGCAGUGGUUUGGCAGUGAUUUGCCUUAAUUGCCAUAUGCGGGGCAGUGGUGCAUGUGGUCAGCAUCCCCCAACUCACAUCCAUGAAGAUUUCUGGUGCCAUGGCAACAUCCCCUACUGCUUUGAACGUGAAGACCUUCAGCCAUUUUCGAUUCACCCCAAAUCUGAAGAUCUUUAGCCAUGUCUGGUCCAACUCCCUUGUGUUUGCAAGUCCAAACAACAGGUCUCAGC
rnacentral:lncRNA from 1 species